UGCUUAAGAUUCUGUCAGUGUUCAGGAAAUGUGGGCUCUGAGAUGCCAGGAGGAUCAUCUGCAAAGCAAAUCUAGGGGUCCUGGAUAUUAGUCUCAUAGCUGAGAUGCAUGAAAAACACCCAGAAUAAGGUGAAACCACAUCCUUCUGUCAGGAGAGAAGAAAAAGGUAACAGGUAACUAGGAAUUCAACAUGUGGGAUGUCAGAGGCAUUGUGGGAAAUUCUGCCACAGGGGAAAAGACAGAAAAGAGGCUGAGAGAACAGGCCUUAGCGUAGGUUUGGGAGUGACAGGUGUGCAUGGGAAACAUCUCAUGAAAGGCGGUGUGUGGUUGUUCUGAUGAAUAAAGAAAAGAAACAAAUAUUCCUGCCCCCUUGAAAACUUCUGCUUGUCCAUUGCUAUGUGAACAGUGAGAUUUCAGAAUUCAUUGAUAAAAAUACAAUUUUGCCAUCAUAUCAUUCAAGGUUUAGUUACAGCUCUAGUGACAUACUCUUUAUGGGGUUCUCGAGGCAAGAAUUCUGGAGUGGUUUGCCAUUCCCUUCUCCAGUGGACAACGUUUUGUCAGAACUCUCCACCAUGCCCCGUCAGUCUUGGAUGAGGUGAUUGGAUGACAUCAUCCUCCUAAUCCAUAGACAUAAGUUUGAGCAAACUAUGGGAGAUAGUGAAGGACAGGGAAGUCUGGCGUGUUACAGCUCAGGGGGUCGCAGAGUCAGACAUGACUUAGCAGCUGGACAACAACUAGUCACUUAGUGUUUGAAUCAGUUCUGCAUCCUCUCUAAAUUUCUCUCUCGUGUGUGUGUGUGUGUGUGUGUGUGUGUGUGUGUGUGUGUGUGUGUGUGUGUGAAAUGGGGAUUAUGAAACCAGUUGUGUGGGAUUAAUAUGAUAAAUUAACUUAAAUGGUGUAUUAACAUGCCCUACUAGCACGUGGGUAUCAAUCACUCAUUU
rnacentral:lncRNA from 1 species